GUGCUUUCUUUGGCAGCACAUAUGCUAAAAUUGGAAUGAUACAGAGAUUAGCAUGGCCCUGGCGCAAAGAGGACAUGCAAACUCAUGAAGCGUUCCAUAAUUAA
ensembl:snRNA U6 U6 spliceosomal RNA